CGAGGGGUGCAAGCGUUGCUCGGAAUUAUUGGGCGUAAAGGGUUGGUAGGUGGUCUUGUUUGUCUAAGGUGAAAUCCCAUGGCUUAACUGUGGAAGUGCCUUAGAAACGGCAAGACUAGAGUCCUAGAGGGGUUUGUGGAAUUCCCGGUGUAGCGGUGAAAUGCGUAGAGAUCGGGAGGAACACCAGCGGCGAAGGCGGCAAACUGGAUAGGAACUGACACUCAACAACGAAAGCGUGGGGAGCAAACAGGAUUAGAUACCCUGGUAGUCCACGCUGUAAACGAUGGGUACUAGGCUUUGUGGGAAUAGACCCCUGCAGAGCCGGAGCUAACGCAAUAAGUACCCCGCCUGGGAAGUACGGUCGCAAGACUA
rnacentral:rRNA from 1 species